rnacentral:lncRNA from 1 species
CUAACUAUCCUACCUAUCCUACUCGCCUUACCCUUCCUACCCGCUCUGAGCCCCCUCCUAAGAGGGGUAAGAGACACGCUGGGAAUCACUUCACCUCAGGAGAGGAAGACUCCAGCGAAGAAGAGACCAUGGGAACCCUCUACGGCUUGUUCCAGCUGAGCGAUCAUGUGAUUUGUUCCUCGGGCUCAACGCCAUCGCUGAACCUUUGCCAGAUGAACUGCAGUGGUGAGUUCAAUCUUUGAUUGACGACAACAUAAGUGAUGACUUAAACUGUGUGGCGACUAUCAAACAGACAAUGGAAAGUGGUCGCGGUCAAAAAACAAUGGCUCUAAAGAGAAUGAUCGAUCUGCUCUUCCAGAAGGAAUGUCUCGCGACGGUGGCCUCUAGCUACUUCUCCAAGUGUUGAAGUGUUGCGAUGUUCGACGACAAUCCCCCAAUUGCAAAAAGAUCUGAAUUGGGCUGCCUGUGUAAAUACAGCCAUGGUGUGUAACAAUUAGUCCUCAUCAGCUUCAUGUUAACAAAGUACACCGGAAUAGAAUGUAGCAUGUAGAAAGAAUAAAAAUGAACAUUACAUUCA